UGUUGGGGUUGUAGGACACUCUAUACGGAGUUACAAAGGACGACAUUAGACGAAUCAUCUGGAAAGAUGAAUCAAAGAAGGUAAUAAUCCUGUAGUCGAAAAUGUUGUCUCUCUUGAGUGGAUCCUGAGUACGACGGAGCACGUGAAAUUCCGUCGGAAUCUGGGAGGACCAUCUCCUAAGGCUAAAUACUCUCUAGUGACCGAUAGUGAACCAGUACCGUGAGGGAAAGGUGAAAAGCACCCCGGAAGGGGAGUGAAAUAGAACCUGAAACCGUGUGCUUACAAGUAGUCAGAGCCCGUUAAUGGGUGAUGGCGUGCCUUUUGUAGAAUGAACCGGCGAGUUACGAUUUGAUGCAAGGUUAAGCAGUAAAUGUGGAGCCGUAGCGAAAGCGAGUCUGAAUAGGGCGUUUAGUAUUUGGUCGUAGACCCGAAACCAGGUGAUCUACCCUUGGUCAGGUUGAAGUUCAGGUAACACUGAAUGGAGGACCGAACCGACUUACGUUGAAAAGUGAGCGGAUGAACUGAGGGUAGCGGAGAAAUUCCAAUCGAACCUGGAGAUAGCUGGUUCUCUCCGAAAUAGCUUUAGGGCUAGCCUCAAGUGAUGAUUAUUGGAGGUAGAGCACUGUUUGGACGAGGGGCCCCUCUCGGGUUACCGAAUUCAGACAAACUCCGAAUGCCAAUUAAUUUAACUUGGGAGUCAGAACAUGGGUGAUAAGGUCCGUGUUCGAAAGGGAAACAGCCCAGACCACCAGCUAAGGUCCCAAAAUAUAUGUUAAGUGGAAAAGGAUGUGGCGUUGCCCAGACAACUAGGAUGUUGGCUUAGAAGCAGCCAUCAUUUAAAGAGUGCGUAAUAGCUCACUAGUCGAGUGACACUGCGCCGAAAAUGUACCGGGGCUAAACAUAUUACCGAAGCUGUGGAUUGUCCUUUGGACAAUGGUAGGAGAGCGUUCUAAGGGCGUUGAAGCAUGAUCGUAAGGACAUGUGGAGCGCUUAGAAGUGAGAAUGCCGGUGUGAGUAGCGAAAGACGGGUGAGAAUCCCGUCCACCGAUUGACUAAGGUUUCCAGAGGAAGGCUCGUCCGCUCUGGGUUAGUCGGGUCCUAAGCUGAGGCCGACAGGCGUAGGCGAUGGAUAACAGGUUGAUAUUCCUGUACCACCUAUAAUCGUUUUAAUCGAUGGGGGGACGCAGUAGGAUAGGCGAAGCGUGCGAUUGGAUUGCACGUCUAAGCAGUAAGGCUGAGUAUUAGGCAAAUCCGGUACUCGUUAAGGCU
rnacentral:rRNA from 1 species